ensembl:lncRNA
UGGGGUUAUGAUGGGGUUGGUAUGGGGUUAUGGGGCUGGGACUGCUGGCGGCCCUUCUGCUGCUGCUCUGCGCCGCACUCACAGCGCUGCUGCUCAGGAGGAGGGCGAGGUGUGGGGUUAUGGGGUCUGUGGGGUUAUGGGGUGGGGGGUUAUGGGGUCUGUGGGGUUGGUAUGGGGUUGGUGUGGGGUUAUGAUGGGGUUAUGGGGCUGGGACUGCUGGCGGCCCUUCUGCUGCUGCUCUGCGCCGCACUCACAGCGCUGCUGCUCAGGAGGAGGGCGAGGUGUGGGGUUAUGGGGUCUGUGGGGUUAUGGGGUGGGGGGUUAUGGGGUUGGUAUGGGGUCUAUGGGGUUGGUAUGGGGUUAUGAUGGGGUUGGUAUGGGGUUAUGGGGCUGGGACUGCUGGCGGCCCUUCUGCUGCUGCUCUGCGCCGCACUCACAGCGCUGCUGCUCAGGAGGAGGGCGAGGUGUGGGGUUAUGGGGGCUGUGGGGUUAUUAUGGGGUCUGUGGGGUUAUGGGGUGGGAGGUUAUGGGGUUGGUAUGGGGUUAUGAUGGGGUUAUGAUGGGGUUGGUAUGGGGUUAUGGGGCUGGGACUGCUGGCGGCCCUUCUGCUGCUGCUCUGCGCUGCCCUCACAGCGCUGCUGCUCAGGAGGAGGGCGAGGUGUGGGGUUAUGGGGGCUGUGGGGUUAUGGGG